UACGUAGGGUGCAAGCGUUAAUCGGAAUUACUGGGCGUAAAGCGUGCGCAGGCGGUUUUGUAAGUCUGUCGUGAAAGCCCCGGGCUCAACCUGGGAAUUGCGAUGGAGACUGCAAGGCUUGAAUCUGGCAGAGGGGGGUAGAAUUCCACGUGUAGCAGUGAAAUGCGUAGAGAUGUGGAGGAACACCGAUGGCGAAGGCAGCCCCCUGGGUCAAGACUGACGCUCAUGCACGAAAGCGUGGGGAGCAAACAGG
rnacentral:rRNA from 1 species